GACGGAGGAUGCAAGUGUUAUCCGGAAUCACUGGGCGUAAAGCGUCUGUAGGUGGUUCAAUAAGUCAACUGUUAAAUCUUGAGGCUCAACUUCAAAAUCGCAGUCGAAACUAUUGGACUCGAGUAUAGUAGGGGUAAAGGGAAUUUCCAGUGGGAGCGGUGAAAUGCGUAGAGAUUGGAAAGAACACCAAUGGCGAAAGCACUUUACUGGGCUAUUACUGAACACUGAGAGACGAAAGCUAGGGUAGCAAAUGGG
rnacentral:rRNA from 1 species